rnacentral:RNase_P_RNA from 1 species
GCGGGACGGAUGAUCGCGUGAAAUAUCGAGGAAAGUCCGGGCUUCACAGGGCAGGAUGCCGGAUAACGUCCGGCGGAGGCGACUCCCGGGAAAGUGCAACAGAAAAUAACAGCCCGCAAGGGUAAUGGUGAAAAGGCGGUGUAAGAGACCACCGCAUCUCUGGUAACAGAGAUGGCUGUGUAAACCCCAUCCGAAGCAAGACUAAACAGAGACCAUAACGCUGCCCGCGUUGUCUCAGGUAAGUCGCUUGAGGCGUGUGGCAACAUACGUCCUAGAUUAAUGAUCAUCCCGGCCUUUUGGCUAUGACAUAACCCGGCUUACAGUCCCGCUCAU